AGACCCGAAACCCGGUGAUCUAGCCAUGGGCAGGUUGAAGGUUGGGUAACACUAACUGGAGGACCGAACCGACUAAUGUUGAAAAAUUAGCGGAUGACCUGUGGCUGGGGGUGAAAGGCCAAUCAAACCGGGAGAUAGCUGGUUCUCCCCGAAAGCUAUUUAGGUAGCGCCUCGUGAAUUCAUCUCCGGGGGUAGAGCACUGUUUCGGCUAGGGGGCCAUCCCGGCUUACCAACCCGAUGCAAACUGCGAAUACCGGAGAAUGUUAUCACGGGAGACACACGGCGGGUGCUAACGUCCGUCGUGAAGAGGGAAACAACCCAGACCGCCAGCUAAGGUCCCAAAGUCAUGGUUAAGUGGGAAACGAUGUGGGAAGGCCCAGACAGCCAGGAUGUUGGCUUAGAAGCAGCCAUCAUUUAAAGAAAGCGUAAUAGCUCACUGGUCGAGUCGGCCUGCGCGGAAGAUGUAACGGGGCUAAACCAUGCACCGAAGCUGCGGCAGCGAACGUAUCACUUAAAGCGAUUCAGCGGGUUACGAUUGACGGAGCGAAGCGACGUCAAAGCGUAUACAAAGUCGAGUCGGUUUAAGGAUACGUUCGUUGGGUAGGGGAGCGUUCUGUAAGCCUGUGAAGGUGUGUCGUGAGGCAUGCUGGAGGUAUCAGAA
rnacentral:rRNA from 1 species